rnacentral:rRNA from 1 species
UACGGAGGGUCCAAGCGUUAUCCGGAAUCAUUGGGUUUAAAGGGUCCGUAGGCGGUUUUGUAAGUCAGUGGUGAAAGCCCAUCGCUCAACGGUGGAACGGCCAUUGAUACUGCAAGACUUGAAAUAUUGUGAAGUAACUAGAAUAUGUAGUGUAGCGGUGAAAUGCUUAGAGAUUACAUGGAAUACCAAUUGCGAAGGCAGGUUACUAACAAUAUAUUGACGCUGAUGGACGAAAGCGUGGGUAGCGAACAGG